rnacentral:lncRNA from 1 species
GUCUGUGAGUAUAACAGAACUCAUAUGGCAGGCAAAAACCUGAGAAGAUUCCUUACAGGAAGUGCCCUCUCUGACCAUGUGGGGGGCUGUAAUAGGUGGUGACAUGACAGUGUGUUAUCAGAGGACUGAGACCAGAUGGGGGGUGUAAUAGGUGGUGACAUGACAGUGUGUUAUCAGAGGACUGAGACCAGAUGGGGGGUGUAAUAGGUGGUGACAUGACAGUGUGUUAUCAGAGGACUGAGACCAGAUGGGGGGUGUAAUAGGUGGUGACAUGACAGUGUGUUAUCAGAGGACUGAGACCAGAUGGGGGGUGUAAUAGGUGGUGACAUGAGGGUGGGUAUAAUUUGUGGAACGUUCCAACAGGAAUCUGUUCCAAAAACUUUGUAAAUAUCCAGGUUACCAACAAACAACGCAAAAAAAGUCAUAUAACGGUAGAAUGAGAUACCGGGUAGAGAGUGAACAAUGUAAUAACGUUUUUCAACCACCACGUUUAUUCUGAAAAAUGUCUCUCUUCGUUCUGGUAGCCUCCACCAUUCCUCGUUCGUUGGUUUAGUUAUUAUUUCCGGGGUUCCUGCAUUCGCCAGGUGAACUCUGUUGCGCCUCAAUUAGGGAAUCGCUAUGGUUGAAAUGUAACUAAUCACUGCCAGCCCCAGUAUUUUAUUAGCUAGGUGGCUUGGACACAAUUGUUACCGAUGAUACUGUAUACACCAGCCUACUCCUACUACAGAAACAUACAUUGUAUUUUGCCAAGUUCUCUCUGUGUUAGUCCUGUUUCCCAAAUAUAUCAGCUAACUUGUGUCUGUGUCGAUGUUGUUUAGUUCAAGGUGCCUAGUUAAAUAAAGAUUAAAUAAAUUAGAACAUAUAAAAUAUAUGCUUUGACCUAUUCCAGGUAACCUAAAGAUGCUUGAUUCACUACAGCUGCUUUUGAAGAACUUUCCAG